CACCGCGGUUAUACGAGAGACCCAAGUUGUUAGACAUCGGCGUAAAGAGUGGUUAAGAUUCAUCCAGGACUAAAGCCGAACGCCCUCAGAGCCGUUAUACGCACCCGAAGGUAAGAAGCCCAAUCACGAAAGUGGCUUUAUACAAUCCGAAUCCACGAAAGCUAUGACA
rnacentral:rRNA from 1 species